rnacentral:rRNA from 1 species
UUAAAUUGAAGAGUUUGAUCAUGGCUCAGAUUGAACGCUGGCGGCAGGCUUAACACAUGCAAGUCGAACGGUAGCAGGAAGGAAGCUUGCUUUCUUUGCUGACGAGUGGCGGACGGGUGAGUAAUGCUUGGGGAUCUGGCUUAUGGAGGGGGAUAACGACGGGAAACUGUCGCUAAUACCGCGUAAUGUCUAAGGACUAGAGGGUGGGACUUUCGGGCCACCUGCCAUAAGAUGAGCCCAAGUGGGAUUAGGUAGUUGGUGGGGUAAAGGCCUACCAAGCCGACGAUCUCUAGCUGGUCUGAGAGGAUGACCAGCCACACUGGAACUGAGACACGGUCCAGACUCCUACGGGAGGCAGCAGUGGGGAAUAUUGCACAAUGGGGGGAACCCUGAUGCAGCCAUGCCGCGUGAAUGAAGAAGGCCUUCGGGUUGUAAAGUUCUUUCGGUGAUGAGGAAGGGUGAUGUUUUAAUAGAACAUUACAUUGACGUUAGUCACAGAAGAAGCACCGGCUAACUCCGUGCCAGCAGCCGCGGUAAUACGGAGGGUGCGAGCGUUAAUCGGAAUGACUGGGCGUAAAGGGCACGCAGGCGGUGACUUAAGUGAGAUGUGAAAGCCCCGAGCUUAACUUGGGAAUUGCAUUUCAUACUGGGUGGCUAGAGUAUUUUAGGGAGGGGUAGAAUUCCACGUGUAGCGGUGAAAUGCGUAGAGAUGUGGAGGAAUACCGAAGGCGAAGGCAGCCCCUUGGGAAAAUACUGACGCUCAUGUGCGAAAGCGUGGGGAGCAAACAGGAUUAGAUACCCUGGUAGUCCACGCUGUAAACGCUGUCGAUUUGGGGAUUGGGCUUUAUGUUUGGUGCCCGUAGCUAACGUGAUAAAUCGACCGCCUGGGGAGUACGGCCGCAAGGUUAAAACUCAAAUGAAUUGACGGGGGCCCGCACAAGCGGUGGAGCAUGUGGUUUAAUUCGAUGCAACGCGAAGAACCUUACCUACUCUUGACAUCCUAAGAAGCUUUCAGAGAUGAGAGUGUGCCUUCGGGAACUUAGAGACAGGUGCUGCAUGGCUGUCGUCAGCUCGUGUUGUGAAAUGUUGGGUUAAGUCCCGCAACGAGCGC